ACGAACGCUGGCGGCAGGCCUAACACAUGCCAGUCGAAUGAAGUCUUCGGACUUAGUGGCGCACGGGUGAGUAACACGUGGGAAUAUACCUUACGCUGGGGGAUAACAUCGGGAAACUGAUGCUAAUACCGCAUACGCCCUUCGGGGGAAAGAUUUAUCGGCGAAAGAUUAGCCCGCGUCCGAUUAGCUAGUUGGUGAGGUAAUGGCUCACCAAGGCUCCGAUCGGUAGCUGGUCUGAGAGGAUGACCAGCCACACUGGGACUGAGACACGGCCCAGACUCCUACGGGAGGCAGCAGUGGGGAAUAUUGGACAAUGGGCGCAAGCCUGAUCCAGCCAUGCCGCGUGAGUGAUGAAGGCCUUAGGGUUGUAAAGCUCUUUCACCCACGACGAUGAUGACGGUAGUGGGAGAAGAAGCCCCGGCUAACUUCGUG
rnacentral:rRNA from 1 species